rnacentral:lncRNA from 1 species
GGUUGUCACUGCUGUGGCACAGGUUUGAUCCCUGGCCUGGGAACUUCCACAUGCUUCAGGUGUAGCAAAAAAAAAAAAACACAAAACAAAACAAAACAAAACAAAAAAACAAGCAGGUAAUGGUUAGAUGAUGGCUAGAGAUUACGGAUGGGUUGGCUUUAUUCCAACAUGAUUUGGUAGGCCAGUUUUGUUGUUUCCUUGAGAAAAUCCCCAGAUACUGGUAUCUCUAGGUCCUUUCUCUAGAACCUCUAUUUCUCCCAAACAGAGACCUCCAGUGUCCUGCCUUGGGGAUGUACAAUUGCCUGAGGGCAUCGUGGGAGCCCAGUGGGGCUGGGGGCAUGUGGCCAUGCAAGCUCUACAUUUUAGCAAGGGGCUCUGAAGCACCCCUCUGCCGUCUCUCACCCAUUGCGCCCAGUGUUCCCAUCCUUCGAACUUCUCUAGCUCGGUUUCCCCAAAGACAAAGCGAGGAGGAAGACAGGGUGCUCACCUUUUAGAGAGUGUGUACAAGAUGCGGGGGGAGAGUGGCAGACCUUCAGCCAUCCCCCCCUGCGUUUAGCCCCUGCCUCUCUCCUGCCUUAUGUCAAUAUCAGCUACCCAGGGAUCGUGAUUCCUGAGCUUUUAGAGUGGAGAGUCCCACGUCUUGUUGGUACCCCACUCUGCCUGUGUUUACUGGUCACUUCCUGCCUCUCUCCUGAACAUUUACUACUCUGAGCUCUGCCUUCCAACUUCACAGACCAUGGUUCAUGGUCAAGUAUGCCUCCUAUUUUUUUUAUCAAAGAUGCUGAAUGUGUUUCUGCUUCUGCUUUACUGCUGUUUUCUAAGAUGAAGGGGGGAAAAGUCUUUACCUUCGUUAAAUCAUAAUUCCAGGAUCCAACAUUUCAAAUCACCUUUGUUUUCAUACACAGGUGGUUAGAUUUUGAAAAUAGGCGUUAAAAUGUAAUAUAUUAUACAGUCUGAUUGUUUCUUUCUUUAUUUUAGUGGAAAAACAGUUGUAAUUAAGGAAUAGAGCCGUUGUUUGAUUUUUUCCGAGGCUGUUGGUUUAAAGUUUAGUCCUCAGAACAUAUUACUUUCUGCCUUUGGGGCAAUCCUCACAUUUUUGAGAGUAAGCAGUCUUUUGUCAAGUGAUGCAAGAAUCCAAGCUUGUUUUCUGGAAUGGAAAUUAACUGAACCCGAGGCCCUUCCUUGUUCCACCCUUUUUGGUUCUUUUCUCUUUUAAUAUUUCAGUGAUGUUUUUAAAAAAUGACAAAAAAAUGAUUCUGGAUCUUGGUUUCUUGAGCUGUAUGCACUUGUCAGCUUGUUGAAGGUGAAGGAAAGGAAGACAGCUUUUCCUGCAUCUUUUCUUUCCCAGAAGAAGAAAGCUAGAGAUCACCCAGGUCCGUGGUCCCCCAAGAUAGAGUGCGUGCAAUCCAGGGAAAUGGUUUCCCAGUGAAACGCUGUUUUGUUUUGUUUUGUUUCUUCCAUUCACACAACUUGAACUCUCCUUUGGUAAAACUUCCAAUGUCCUGAAUGAAACCUUGUCUUUUUGCCACUCAGGAAGCUCUCUUCACUAUGUUCUGCAGUAAUAAUCCCAGGAACUCCCAGAGGAGAUCCUGUCUAGGGAGGGGGCUUAGUCAGUGGAAACAGACAAGAAGUGGGUUCUCGUUCGGAAAGAGCAGGUCCAACAGGCAUAUCUCUCAAGAGGUCUCCAAAUGGAUGCAUCUUCGCUUCUCCUUGACAUGGUGAUGGGUUGUCACACCCCUUUCUAGGACUUCCCUUGGGGCUCACAACAUACCCCUUUUGUAACCUAUGUUUUCCCAACAGAAAGUUGGGGGUUGGUGGAGCUGGAGGGAUGGUGUAUCACCGAGUACCUGUCAAAGCCUGUUCUCGCUGCUACAGAACGUAGUUCCCACCUACGAAAGAAGCCAGGAGGGUGGUUGAGCCCUGAUUCUCCCCAAGCUGUCAAGUUGUCAGGGAAUCCUAACCUUUAGGAACGGUUUCCCCACACCGUCUUGAGUAUGACGCUACUGUCCCCAAGAACCAAGACCUCCAGGAGCUUAUUUCUCUCACACUUACGUCAGCCUUAGGUCUUUCCCAUCAUGCUGUCAUGUCUCAGCUGGCAAGGCCAAGCUUUAGUUUGUAAUCAUGAAGAAGGCAGGAGGCCAAGGCUUCCUAAAUUGCUCACUGAGCCUUAUUGUAAAUUUAUAUUGAACUCUUAAUGGUGGGAGCAUUAAAAAAAUUGGAGCUUUUGAAAGAUGAUCUCAUUUCAGAAUUUUUUUUUCUCUCCUAUAUUCUCUGGGUUAGACCACAUUAUUUAAAAAAAAAAUCCUUAGUUAAGCCAAAAGUCUGGAAGUGUAAUUAUCAUUGAAUUUGCUUUAAUGAUAAAAACAGGAAGGAGACAAUCUUUCAUUCAGAAAAUGGUUAUUGGAUCGGCUCUGUCUGUGGGCACCGCUGAACCUAAAGAUGAAUAAGCUAUGGCUCCUCUCCUCCAGACCCUUCAAGAGCAAAGAAAAACAAAACCCCUACAGUGCCUGUUGGUAUGGAUUAUGCUGCAGUACAGAUGACCUGAAAAUGGAAUGGCUUAAGACAGCCCAUAGCGCUAGUCUCACGCAGUUUCUAGAGUCAGGAGCCUGGAGCAGCUCAGUUGGCCCGUUCAGGCUCUGGGUCUCCCAUGAGGUUGCACUCACCGUGGUGGCCAGGACUGAGGGCCUCUGAAGGCAUGACAGGGGGAGAGGGUCUCCUUCCAGGUUCAAGCCCACGGCUGCCAGCUGGAGGGUCUCAGUUCCUUAGGACGUGGGCCACUCCAGAUGGCUGCUCCUGGCAUGGCAACUGGCUCUCCCAAAGCUCAUGAUCGGAAAGAGAAGGAGGCUGAAAGAGAAGCCACAGUGUUUAUUUGUGUGUGUGUUUUUUAAUAAUCUAAUCUCAGAAGUGACAUAUAUCAUUUCUGCUGGGUGCUAUUGGUCACACAGACUGAUCCUGGUACAAUAUGGGAGAGGCCUAUAUAAAAAUAUGAAUGAAGGAGGGGGCUUUGAGGGAAGCAACUUGGAGGCUACCACCACAGUCUUCCUUCCACAUCUUCACCUGCUCAUGCUCCAAGAUUACCAUCAAAAAUAUUCAGGAAUCCCUAUUGUGGCUCAGCAGUAAUGAACCCAACUAGUAUCCACGAGGAUGUGGAUUCAAUCCCUAGCCUCACUCAGUGGGUUAAGGAUCUGGCACUGCUGUGAGCUGUGGUGUAGGUCUCAGACGUGGGUCGCAUCCCCUGUUGCUGUGGCUGUGGCUGUGGCUGUGGCUGUGGCUGUGGCAUAGGCUAGCAGUCACAGCUCCAAUUCCACCCCUAGCCUGGAAACUUUUAUGCCACAUGUGUGGCCCUAAAAAC